rnacentral:rRNA from 1 species
UACGGAGGGUGCGAGCGUUGUCCGGAAUCAUUGGGCGUAAAGGGCGCGUAGGUGGCCCGGUCAGCGUGCGGUGAAAGCUCGGGGCUCAACCCCGAGUCGGCCGUGCGAACUGCUGGACUGGAGCACUGUAGAGGCAGGCGGAAUUCCGGGUGUAGCGGUGGAAUGCGUAGAGAUCCGGAAGAACACCGGUGGCGAAGGCGGCCUGCUGGGCAGUGGCUGACACUGAGGCGCGACAGCGUGGGGAGCAAACAGG